UACGUAGGGUGCAAGCGUUGUCCGGAAUUAUUGGGCGUAAAGAGCUCGUAGGCGGUUUGUUGCGUCGGCUGUGAAAUCCCGAGGCUCAACCUCGGGUCUGCAGUCGAUACGAGCAAACUAGAGUGUUGCAGGGGAGACUGGAAUUCCUGGUGUAGCGGUGAAAUGCGCAGAGUAUCAGGAGGAACACCCGGGUGGCGAAGGCGGGUCUCUGGGCCGAUACUGACGCUGAGGAGCGAAAGCGUGGGGAGCGAACAGG
rnacentral:rRNA from 1 species